rnacentral:lncRNA from 1 species
UCAAAUCUCUCGAUUUCAGAGACGGUUCUAGUGCCAAUAAGAUAAAAUUCAUUGGUAAGUACUUACCCAGUAAGCUACAAUGCGAACCUCCUGUUCAUGCCCAUACGUACUUUGCAGAGUUAUUUAAGGUGUAGGGGAAGAUGUGAUCUAACCAUAAAUGUGCAAUUUAAAACGGAUAGAUUUUGUUGUGACCCUUAAAUCACCAUAUUUGUGUUGUGGAGGAAGAACACAGAUUCUGGGAUGAGGUCAUCAUGAAAUCUAGAG